rnacentral:rRNA from 1 species
CCUACGGGAGGCAGCAGUGGGGGAUAUUGCACAAUGGGGGAAACCCUGAUGCAGCGACGCCGCGUGUGGGAAGACGGUCCUCUGGAUUGUAAACCACUGUCCCCAGGGACGAAGAUGACGGUACCUGGGGAGGAAGCUCCGGCUAAUUCCGUGCCAGCAGCCGCGGUAAUACGGAGGAUGCGAGCGUUAUCCGGAUUUAUUGGGUUUAAAGGGUGCGUAGGCGGUCCGGAAAGUCAGCGGUAAAAGCCCGGGGCUCAACCCCGUACUGCCGUUGAAACUGCAUCCCUUGAGUGCGCGAGAAGUAUGCGGAAUGCGUGGUGUAGCGGUGAAAUGCAUAGAUAUCACGCAGAACUCCGAUUGCGAAGGCAGCAUACCGGCGCGCAACUGACGCUCAUGCACGAAAGCGUGGGUAUCGAACAGGAUUAGAUACCCCAGUAGUC